UAGAUACUCCCUCCGUCCCAAAAUUCUUGUCUUAGAUUUGUCUAAAUACGGAUGUAUCAAGUCACGUUUUAGUAUUAGGUACAUCCGUAUCUAGACAAAUUUAAGACAAUAAUUUUGGGACGGAGGGAGUAGAUA
rnacentral:pre_miRNA from 1 species